CCUACGGGAGGCAGCAGUAAGGAAUCUUCCACAAUGGACGAAAGUCUGAUGGAGCAACGCCGCGUGCAGGAUGAAGGCUUUCGGGUCGUAAACUGCUUUUAUAUGGGAAGAUUAUGACGGUACCAUAUGAAUAAGGACCGGCUAACUACGUGCCAGCAGCCGCGGUAAUACGUAGGGUCCAAGCGAUAUCCGGAAUUACUGGGCGUAAAGCGUGUGUAGGUGGAUUAAUAAGUGUGAUGCGAAAUCCGGCGACUCAACCGUUUGGACUGUGUCGCAUACUGUUAGUCUAGAGGACGGCAGAGGUAAGUGGAAUUACGGGUGUAGCAGUGAAAUGCGUAGAUAUCCGUAGGAACACCAAUGGCGAAGGCAGCUUACUGGGCCACACCUGACACUGAGACACGAAAGCGUGGGGAGCGAACAGGAUUAGAUACCCUGGUAGUCCACGCCGUAAACGAUGCAUACUAUUAGUAUGGGGUAUCGACCCCCUGUGCUGAGAAGCUAACGCGAUAAGUAUGCCGCCUGGGGAGUACGAGCGCAAGCUAAAACUCAAAGGAAUUGACGG
rnacentral:rRNA from 1 species